rnacentral:lncRNA from 1 species
AGUAACGCGAUUCAGCAUUUGUGGAGCCUUACCGUUCACGCCAGGCACUGGGCUCAGCCCUCUCAAUGGUCUCCUUUGAUAGCACCUAUGAACAAGUACCAUCAUUAGACCCACUUUACAGGUGGGGAAAGUGAGGCUCAUGGAGAAGUCACUACUGCCAAUCACACGGUCUUACAUGACUGAGCCGGGACCCUGGUCCGUCUGACCCCAACACCCAAGCUCUCGGCCCCCACACUUGGCUUGAGAGGUUUCUGUUUCCUUGUCUGUGAAAUAAGAGGUUGGACCAGAUGAGUUCUUAGUUCUACGAUUCCACGAAUGUCUUAGAAAGCAAAAUGCACAGAGCCAAAUUUCCUUUGCCAUGCCGAACGCCAGGGCAGCGGAGCCAGCAGUGUCGAUGCUGUAAAGCCCCAAGGAGAGUUCUAGACGGAAGGGCGCUGCUGUGUCCUGGUAAUGAUGUCAGGUGACUCAGACAGGUCUGGGACUGGAGAAGCUGGCUGUCUUGUCUGAACCUCCUUUGAAGUGGUGGUUUGCAACACUUUUACGAACUGGAGGUUGAACGAGAACAUGAAAGUCAUCUCAUUGAUGGGGAAAAUCUGAAGCACACGCUGGUUGAGAAAUUUGCCCAAGGCCUCACAGCCGGUUCCAGCACUGAUGGUUGCCACGGACAUUAUUUCCUUCAGUUUACGACAGCCCUGAGAAGUCACUGGUCACGGAUAGCGUUGGUUCAUGAGAGCUGAUUGCUAAAUUUCCAGGAAUUUUGAGUCAGUUGUUAAACAUAGCCAUUAUUCAAUAGAUGGAGAUGGAAUCCUGGCUUUGCCACUUACCAGCUAGGUGACCUCGCCACGUGGCAAAAGCUACAAAGGAGUGAGGAGGGUUUGGAAACAGGCCCCUCUAGAGUCAAGUCUCGGCUUCGGUCUGACUAUCUGCGUCAGUUUUCUCGUCUGUAAAUGGGGAGCAGCUGCUGUUGAUAGCAGUAUCUGUUGUAUCUCUCACACGCUUUUGAAGGUUUGCUGAAUACUCACUAUGUGCCGAGCAUUGUUCUAAGCUCCUUGCUGAUAUUUUCUUAUUAAUGUUCCAGCCACUCAAUGAGAGAAGUAUCGUUCUCCCAAUGGGGAAGUGGAGGAAUAGCCUCAGCACA